rnacentral:rRNA from 1 species
UACGGGGGGGGCAAGCGUUGUUCGGAAUUACUGGGCGUAAAGGGCUCGUAGGCGGCCAACUAAGUCGGAUGUGAAAUCCCCAGGCUUAACCUGGGAACUGCAUCCGAUACUGGAUGGCUUGAAUUCGGGAGAGGGAUGUAGAAUUCCAGGUGUAGCAGUGAAAUGCGUAGAGAUGUGGAGGAACACCGAUGGCGAAGGCAGCCCCCUGGGCUGAGAUUGACGCUCAGGCACGAAAGCGUGGGGAGCAAACAGG